ensembl:lncRNA
CCAUCCCCCUAGAUGCUUGAGAGAAGAGGUUUCAAGUACCUCCUCCAUUUUCUCAGCUUUGACCUGAAGCAGAGGAUAAAGGAUUAUUGUUGUCGUUCAAAGCCAUCUGGAAAAGCUUUUUGUGGCAGUGCCGUACCAUUUCAAUGACCGUGAAACAGUGGGAGUAUGAGAACUUUACUGUGUCACUACAUUUAUAUGCCCUGCCUUAGCUGCUCUCUGUUACUUAACACUGUUCUUUCAAUGUUAGUUCAAAAUGGAUUUGCUGGUUUGCUGAGGUCACUGUUUUCCCUUACUGCUCUGAAGGCCACAAAGGUAAAAUGCUUCCCAUUCAUUGUUUUGCCGUUUUCGAUCUUUUAUUUCAAUUGUGUUCGUGCUUCAAUAAGGUUCUUGUCUUUACUCGUGAAAGCAAACGAAGUAAUAAAAAUGUUUUGUAACAGCUGUAAUAAGGUACAACAUAAUACAUAUAUAUAUAUCCUACAACAAGUAUUUCAGAAGCAUGUUCUCUUCUUAAUUUUACCGUGGAAUCAGGAAAAAACUGUCCUGCCAGUAACACAUUAAAGCUUGUGAUCAGAUUGCCACAAUUUUACUCCCAGAUUUUUUUUCAUCUUGCAACAGCAAAUGAGAACUUGUGGUAUGUUUAUAGAUGUAACACGCUCAGGUUGUAAGCUCUCUUCAUUUUGAGAUCUGUAUCUGAGCUGUAACAGAAAUUUUUGUCACACUAGUGUCUCAAAGACUAAAUCAUGGAGUUGCUUGCAAUUCUGUAAUGUAUUAGACAAUCUGAUCCCAAUUAGAUUACUAACUGCAGUACAAACCACAGACAUCAGUUCCUAGCUAGCACGCCCACAUUAUUUCUAGAUGGUGUAUUCUAUUUAUCUUCAUUUUCAGCGAUUUCACUGCAGCUUUAUAAUUAAACCUGUCUCCGACAUCGCAGGGAAAGGAAAAGUGCUCUGUAGUCAUGGCCAGUUGGACAUCCUUAUGUGUUAGGAAGAUGUUGCAGUGAUAGCUGUUCCACAUCGUUUCUGCAUUUUGUUAUAACAUACAGUGUUCUAGAGUUCAAGCUACAGAGUACUUGGCACAACUGAGUGAAUUGCCUUGAUUGAUACCAUUUCAUAUGUCAUGGCUUAUUAGUGAUUUUUAAUUUAAGGAUUAUUGGGCUGAUUACACUCAACAGUUAUUUCUGUGAAUUCAACAAAGCUUUUGAAAUUUAACUCCUUUAGGUUCUUUAUUUGUAUGUCAUGGCCUUAUUCUUCAAAUACAGUUUGAAAAAUAAAUAAAAGACCAUAUGUAGAUAACACAGCAGUUGUGCAGUGCAUGUAGAUCCCUGUAUGGGAGCCUUACAAAUUUGAAUGCUCAGGAAUGAAGGUGCUCAAAAGGCCUAUUGCAUGUAAAGUUUAGUGGGCAUGGUGGUGGUGAAUUAAUGGUUGUAGUAGAUGAUCUUAGAGGUCUUUUCCAGUCUUUAUGGUUCUCUGAUUCUAAAUUCACUCAACAAUUAGGAAGCAUCAGGAUUAAAAUUCCUGCAUAAAAAUAUGCAUUUACGGGGAUUUUUUGAAAGGUAUCAGAACUCACUGUGAACUCUUGGAAAAAACAGCCAAGCACUGCUCUGCAUUUUGCAUAUCUUUAUAAUUUUGAAAGUAAUAGUCCAAGGUAUUUUAGUGGGAGUUAGCCUUCGGUGAUUUUCUACCAGUAUUGAGCACAAUAGAUACACCAAAAUCAUUCUGCAGUACUAUACAACUUGUCAGAAUUGUGGAUUUUGUUUAGAAGUUUAGGGGAUUUUCUGCAGAACCUAAACCUGAAAAAAAAAGGUAUAGGAGUGUCUCAAAGCACAUAAAUUUUAAGUUCUUCACAGAAGUGAGGCACGAGUGAAAAAUUACCAGACGUAUAAAGUUCUUUAGAAGAGAAGAAACAGGUGCUCUUUGCUUUUGAAUGACUAAUCUAAAUCCAAAAGUAUUAUUUUUUUUUCAGGCUAAGCAUGAGUUUCUUUCAUUUUUCAGUCCUGAGCCAAGUCUUUACUCUUUGAAGAUGUCAUUAAAACCACCUCAAGGUCUCUCUGCCUCAAACUGUGUGAUUUUCAGCAAUUGCUUAAAGGUACAGCUAAACAAUGACAUAAGUUGGUGCUACAAGGUGGUUAAUUAAGCAAUGUGAAGAGCAAUGAAUUAAUGUGCUAUCCAUGUAAGUGUCUUUCUGAUAACUACUUGGUUUGCAAUUAUGCCUGGUUUAAUCUGAUGAUAAUACCUAAGAAGUUGUGGCUUCUUAAAAUGACCUUUGUUUUGGGAAAAACACGGGUGUCUGUGCUUUACUAAGGGUUUUGUUGAUUUAUUUUUGGGUUUGUUUUUUUGGCUUAGGUUUGAAUGAACCACUGACUUAUGCAAAUAGAUACGUUAACAUGGAAGAUAACAUGCUGUCUUUUAUUUAAAAGGAAGAAUGGAGGACCACGCUGAACAUUGGCUGUUCCAAAGUUAAUAGUUGAACAAUGCAUUUAACUGCAUUGUCUUGUAUUUUUAGCAACAUUUGGGCUAUUCAGAGUUCUUUGGAUUAUAGAUCACUUUUACAUUACAGAAGGGGAUAAUGCAUCUCUCUAUUACUACUGAUGGAUGUCUCAAAUUAAAUGUAUGUGCUUAACGUCCAUGCUUUGAAGGUUAACGACCUUGUGAUAGAGAAAUGGAGACUGACUUUCGCUGUCCUGUGCUAAAAUUCCCUUUAUCUUUCACCGGUGUGCUUUGCUACAUAUAUUGACUUGUGGAAAGUCCUUUGAUGAAAGGUAGUAACAGGAGGGGUAUUGCGACUUUAUUUCUUGCCGGGUAAAUCCUAGCUGACCCUAUUACCAUCAACUCCUUUCUUUCAAGGAACAAACUUCUAGGGGGUGGGAGGGUGAAUAGUUUCACUCAUAAUGCCAUGUUUUCCACCGAUCAGAAGCAUCUUUGAUUCCCAAAUGUUGUUGGAAAUAAAAUUCUGACUAAAUUUAAUUUCAGUUCACGGUAUUUAGGAGAGACUACUUCAAGCAAUUAAGCAAGCGUUCAUUUUUCCUAGUCUGGUAUGCAGUCAUAGGAACGCAAGGAAUUUGUUGAACCUAAAAUAACGUAUUGAAUGUUCUUCUAGUUAUUUCAGAAGAUAACUUCAUUAAGUCUUGCUUUUCCUCAUUCUUUAAUUUUUGUAUAAGGAUUGACAACAGUGGAGAUAACUCCAGCUGAAGUGCUCCAACAGCAGGAGUCUAGAGGAACAUACAGGAAUAGUCUCAUUUGGAUUUCAGAUGACUGCUCGUGUCUUUAACCAGUGUCAUGCUUUUCCUUCAAACACUGUCUCCAUACUGUCAUCUGUGCCUUUGUAAUUGUACUGUGGAGGUGAUUCUAAAAUGCUAAAUUUUAUGGCAAACCAGUAUGAUGAGCUACAAAUGAUUGAGCUCAAAUUGUGCCAAAAUAGUUACAUCUCUAGCAUUAAGGAAAGCCCUUACAGGCAAACUGUCUGUGUGUUCUGGGUUUCUAAAUACUGGAAAUGAAUUUGUUCCAAAUUUGGGUAGAAUUAGGUCUCGGAAAAGUGGUUUGCUUGAAAAAUGGAAGGAUGGUUUUUGGCUAGGUAGUGGCCUGCUGUUCAGAGCUCCCAUGUGACUCUGAGUUCUCUCCCCUCACUGGAUAUUGAGCAUUGACUGUGCAUGAAGGGGGACCUUCUGUUAGAAACUGUUGCAACAGACUCAUCCAAAAGAACCUGAAUCUGCCAAAGAAGGAACUUCAACCUUUUGACCUCAUUGAGACCAAAUGAUCCCUGCUGAAAUGAGCCGUUUCUUCGAGAAAGUCUGGGCUGGAUCUGAGAAUUUCCUUUCAGAAUUGAUAAAUACCACAAAUUCUUGAUCAAAUUUACUUGCUAGUCAAAACAUAAUAUUGAUUGAGAAACAAAAAAAAAAAAGUGUUGUAUAUUGCUUGCAGUUAGUACUUUUUUAUGAGAUACUGUGAACAAAACAGAUCAAGAUAGUAAUGCAGGUUAUUGCUUUGCCUUGUUUUGCCAGUCAUGCAUUCAGAUAUUACCACAGGCAAAAACAAUUUCAUGGCCCCUGAUAUAUCUGCAUCACAUCCUGUUUGAAAACCAAUAAAAAGAUUGAGUGAUGUUCCUGGGAAGGAACUGUAACGUUGAGAAGUCCUUAGCUCUGUAACCAAAGAUUUUAAUCCUUAUACUGUUGGACAUUUCUUCCCAUCUGUAAAUUGAGAGAAAUGAUUUUCAGAAUUAAAUCAAAUUUUAAGACUGCAAAUUAUAGUAAAGUUGCAAGUUAUAGUAUUUCUACUUAAACAUUUAAUGGGUUGCCAUAGAGAACUCUACUGUGCUUAAAUUAAAAUGGCACUAUCCAAAAGAACUAAGCUAAUAUUUCUUGGCUACAGAAACCAGAUGAAUACAAUCAGUGCACUCAGUGGGAAAUGAAAAGGGAAAAUAUUCUCUUGGUUUGGGUGAUUUCAGGUGUGUUCACUUGCCCUUUUGUGUGAUCUUUACGUGUAAAAUGUCUUUUAUUUCCUAUAUGCAAGUUUGUUUUGUGAACACUGUUUUCUUUGUUGUCUAUUUUGAACCAUCUUCGUUUCCUGCAGUUUCCAAAAAAUCAGCUGACUUUUAGGUAGUUGAUGCUCUAGACGUUAUUGCCAUAUGACUACAAGUUACUGAUGGAAAUUCAAACACAUCCUCCUGGGUUUUAUUGCAUGGCUCAAAAAGCCUAACUGCAGUUUUGGCCUCUUGUAUAGCGGCUGUGUAGUGUAACGAGAAGAAAAACCUAAUCACUGAUAUCUUUGUUAAAACUUCUUCACAGAGUGUGGUGCGCACAGUGCAGGAGUGGAUGUGAUGAAUCCUGCAGGCAAACAGAACUGUCCUUGUUUGCAGAAAGGACUGUUUUAGAUUGUAACAGUUAUUGUGCUGCUCAUCCAGUUCACUGCAGAUAUUUUUCCCUUACCAAACUAAUAUUUGAGUUCAAAUGUUCACUCUAAUGUCAGGACCUGAUAUAUUUUUACUUCCCCCUUUCUCUUAAUUUUAUUGAUUUUUUUCUAAGCCAAACAUUCCAUAAAUUAGUUCUAUUAGAAGGCUUAUUGUGGAAUGUGAUAUAAUUGGCAACUGAUUGUUGAUGUAGGAGAUUUAUGUUGGCCUUACAGUAAUAGUUUCUUAUAAUUGAAUACAUAUGUGAUUUCCAGUGUCUAGACUUGGGAACUUUCCCAGGAAGGAGUUCCAGGUGGUUAUCUAACUGUAAUAAGCCAAAUGGCUACCACUCAGUCUGCAGACAUGGGAAAUAUGCAAAUACUACUGGCAAACGUAAUUAUUUCAUAAAUCUGCAUUUAAAUCACAAUAUAUCCAUUUACAUCUAAUGGUUUGACCAGCUUAUUCGUUUUAUAGAUUCAUUUAGAAUCUUUUUUUUUUAAACCUGAAACUUUCUUUCCCUCGAUUACUCCCUAAACUGAAAUAAUAUAAAAUGCAGAGGUGAGAAGUUCUUGAUAUGCCCGGAUGUCAAAAAGCUUUAACUAUGUUACAUGCCUGAGUUAGUUGCAUUAGUAUAUGAAGUAGUAAGUGCUUGAAGUAGCAGUUACAUUGCCAUAUAUUGAACUAAUUCCAUGAAAUCUGAUUAGGUAUAGUUAAGUGACAUGGCAACUUGAGUUUUCAUUUGCUAGCAGACUGAUUUCUGGAAGGAUCUCAGAAAGGAAACGUGUCUGGAAGCUGCACAGCCUACUAAAGCAUGUGGUGAUUUGAUAUUGUCCUGAUCCCAGUUUGCCUUGAACAUGCUUUGCACGCUAAAACAUCCCUGGAGAAGGAAAACACAGUUGGCUAUCCCAGCGUGAAUACUCUGCAAAUAUUGUUCUGGGGCCCGCACAGCCUGUGACUCACAAUGAAUAUUUUCAGCUCUGGUUCUUACAGUACAAUAGGAAAUACAAAGGAAAAUAAGUAAUUUGCUGGGGCCUAACACAGUGUGACUUGAUCAUUGUGCUUCAGAGAACAGAAGAGCUACAUUAGCAGAAGUGAAAAGUCCUUUCAAUUCAGAUUUCAUAUGCCAGAUGGCUGGCUCUUGUUCUUAUGUUUUGGUGGUGGUGGGUUUUUUGUUGUUGUUGUUAUUUUUGUUGUUGUUGUUUUUCCUUUUAUCCUACCUGUUAAGAUAGCAAAGAAUGACAUACGUUAUCUGGCUCUGCAGCCAAGUGUGUGGUCCAAAUUAUUUUCACAGAAUGCCUGGAAAAGUCUGCUUGCUUGCCUGCCUGCCUCAAUCAUUUUUCUCAACUAAUUAGAAAAGUCUGCCAAACAUUUUUGGGCUAAGGCACUAAUUAUUCUCAAACAAAUGUUUCAAUUUUGCACAAGUUAGGAAGUGUCUCUGUAUUAAAUGACUGCAUGCCAAGAUGCCAGAGUAGUCAGUCUGCUUUUGUUUAUCAGUAUGUCUGGAAGUCCUGUAGGACCAAGGAAAAAAACUUAAAAGCACCAUUUUCAAGCAGAGAUCUGUAGUGUUUAGUGAUGUUAAAGGAAAUAAUACUGCAAUACUUACUUUGUACGUGUUAGCUUUUAAUGAGAAAUAGGUCUAUUUUCCUUCUGGAAAUGCUGUUUCUUGUGAUGUUUGUAAUUGCAUUGGUCCUCAGAUUCUGUUGUUUCUGGCAGAGAAUAAAAGGAAAUCUUGUAGUUUUUCAUGCCAGACUGGCCUAUCUAACCCUGUCUCAGCUUUUAUGGCCCAGUCUUCAACACCCUAUUUCAGCAUUAAAGAAGAUGGUCCCUCGUGGCAAGGGCAUUGGAGAGUCAUUCUUUGUAAAAGUUCAAGUUGAAUUUGGCAAUCUGAAGAAAUUUGAAUGGUUUAAUGAGGCCUAUAGCUUGUUUUCCAAGUAAUGGUCUGGACCUGGAUUCUGUGUUUCCCUUCUCGGAAGUGGUGGUGGUCUUCUGGAACAGUCUCAUCCUACCUCAGGUCUGGAAAUGUAUUGGUCAUGCUGAUUUAUUUGUGACAAGGUUCACAGUCUGAUAGUUUGUUAUGUCAGUGAUAAGAUAUAUGCCUCUGAUUAGCUGUAUCUCUGCUGAUGCUGCUAAACUUCUGCCAUCUGUCUUUCAAAUUGUUUGUCCUCAUCCCAAAAGUUGCUCUGUAAGAAGAUGGUAGAUUGCCAUACUUAGGAGUCUUUUUGACUUCUGUUGGAUCUGCCCAUGUAUAACCAACAAAAAAUAGUUUCCACCAACUGCCUUCCUCUGUUUUUUGAAAGUAGGGAAAAUGUUUUUUUUUUGUUUUGUUUUUGUUUUUCCAUGGAAAAAUACUGUUGGAGCAGCCCUCGUGUUAUUUUCUAAAGAUGACGAGAGAAACUCAACAGUUUAUUUCACAGAGUUAAGUGAAAUGAUUUACUUAUGAGCCAAUGAGUUUGUUUUUUAGAUCUGUGCUAGCACAAAAUUGCUGGAUUAAGGUGGUGGGCUUUUUAGUUUUGUUUCUUGAAGCAUAUAUUAAGGGGGAGGACAAAAUGAAAGAAUGAAACCAUCAGAAUGGCAGCAGAACUUGGAACAUUUCAUUACUUGAUUUAUUUCCAGAAGCCACCUGUGCCAAGGCAGAAAAUGUGCUUAAAUACUACAGUAUUUGUACCUCUUUGAACAAUUAUUCGUAUUAGGGUAAUUAAGUAGUCAUAAUUUGUAUUUGAAUAAUGGAUUAUAUGUGUUUUCUUUGCAAUAUUUCCCUUCCUUCUUUAGGGAAAAUAUUGAAUCUGGUUUGUGAGUGCUUUCUACCAUUAAUUACUUUUUGCCCUGAUCUGCACCCACUGGCUUAAUUGCCAUCUGUCUGCAUAGUGUGCAGUGUGUGCUUUUUUAAAAUAAAAUAAUAAUAACAAAUGUAAAUUGUUUGUAAAGAGGAGAUGCAUCACGUGACUCUGAAAAGAGUUGGCUCUGGACAAUGCUGGCUGCUCCUGGCAGUGGCUGUGCUACAGGAGUGCUUGCAGACAGAAGAUGUCAAGUGAAGACAUUGCAAAUAUGGCAUUCCUGGUUCUUUAGCAUGAUGUAGAGCAAAAGACAAAGGGGCUGUGAAUCCUAGAGUGUCUCUCAUGGUUCAGUCCAUAGUCAUCUCCUACAUGGCAAGGAAGCUUUUAAGAAAACAGAGCUUAGAAAACUUUUCUUUUUCUAUUUUGUUCAUUUCCUUCUUGUCCUUUCAGUGCACAGUUAUUUGCUAGAUAAUUCUCCCUGCUGGUUUCAACUCGAUCCUUUUGAGUGCAUGAAUCUUUCUUUUCAACAUCAGUCACACAGUCUAAACCUUGCGAUGACCUCUAAAUGUACUAAACAUUUGGUAACCCUUCUUGGCUUUCUUGACAUUUGGAUGUCUGCGGAUUUAGCCUUCUCUUGAGGGGCAGAGGAACACGGUGGAGGAUCUGAAUUUGUUCAAGGUGGUAGCUGUUAUCCAAGACCAGCAAGGACCUGGUGGCAGCAAGAAUGUCAAGAUACCUAUAGCCAUGCAGAGGCAGCUGCCCAUAGAUGACUUGGAUCUUCAUUUUUUUGUGUGAAAUUGAAAUUUAUGGAUGUCCUCAGAGCAUGCUUAGUUCCUCUGAAACUGGAUGCUGUGAGCUGACACUGCAAGAGGAUGCUGGUUCUGAUGUCUUCUGCACACCUCUUUGAUCUGCAUUCAUGCAGGAUAAAUAUCAGUGAUUGGAGGCUUUUAUUUUUAAAAGCUUUUCAUUUUAGGCUUAUAUAACAAGGUAAAAGACUUACCUUUCCAGCUUUUAAAAUGAGUGCUGAGCUCCAAGAAAGACCGGAUCAUAGGUAUGCUUGCACAGCUGGAGCCCUGGGGGAUCGGAUUUGCUGCUUUUGUGCACAGCCUGGAGCUCUGAAGCAUUGGCCUUGAUUUGGAUCCCGAGAAGUUACCGCACAGAAGUGUCAUGUUCGUUAAGGGUGAAAUCCAUUAAAACUGGCAGAAGAGUUGGUUCCAUAUCCACAGAGUCAACAGAGCCAAACAGAAAUAUGAAGCUGAGAAAAAAGAAGGGAAUGUGUGCAGCUGCAUGGCAUAGAGUCCAGCUCAGAACCUGCCUACCCAUCAGUUUGUUGUUUUAGGCACAGUUAUGUUAAUUCUAGAAGAAAGUCUGAAGUUCUCUCACCCAGAUCAACAGAAUUUUUAGAAGUAAAACAAGAUGUCUGAUGAGAUGCAGUCAAUCUGUUGUGAGCAAUGAGUAAACAAAUCCCUCUGAUGGAGAGGAGGGAAGCCCUGCUACAGAAACUGCCAGCUGGUUGGUUGGUCUUUGCUGACCUCUGCUCGGCUCUGAAAAGAUUUGCCUUUAGAAGACCUCCCAGCAGUCCACUAAAUGCAGUUUGCUACUUGAAGUUUUAUAGCUGUGCUGCUUGAGAUGGACUAUUCUUUUACAUAUAGUACUGAGCUGUGAUGCAAAUUUUCCCUAUAAAGAGGCUUCUUUCUAGAUGAAAGAGUUGAUGAAGCUUCAAAAGUGGUUCCAUACUCUAGGAGAUGUGUGAUAGUACUGUCCUGGUUUGAGCAACCUGAACUGCAGAUGUCACUCUUCGUGGGAACUCAACCCUUUUGUUGCCUGCAGCAUCGGACUGCACAAACUACACAAUUCUUUACCCCAUGGAAGUGUCAGGAGGAAAUGUGGGCUGUGAUGAUCAAAAACAAAAGACUCUUUGGGAUCUUCGACCUUGUGCAAUUAAAGGUCUCCCUUCAAUACCUACUUCAUCAUUUAAUGUCUGUGGUGCCAAUAAUGUGCUGGUGCUUUGGUAUGGUAUCAACUCCAAGGGAAGAGUGCCACCUACUGAACUACCAGUUCUCUAUUUUGUGACAUAUAUAUCUGCCAGUUUUUCACCCAAAAUACUGACCAAAUCCUGUCUUGUGUAAGACAUGCAAUAUCAAGGCCUUGACAUGGCAUAUCCAAAUGUGUGAUGUUCCCAGUGUGGAUGAGAUCACUGUGCUGUGGCACUUGGAAACAUAAUCCUUUCCUCCUUUGUGGAUGUUUGAACGUGGAUUUUAACACGAUAAUUAUAAAAGACUGCAAUAAAAAUGAAGUUAGUAACAACCCACAUAAUGUUACUGUUAUCUGACCCUGAUUUGAACUCUCCACUGCUAUAAAAGCUAAAAUAUACUGCUAAUGAUUUCUUUGAAAAUAUGCUAAUAAUUAAUGCAUUAUUUCAGUCUUAGUCUCAUAAAAAUUAGAAAUGUCUUUAAAAAGAAUUAAAACAAUAAAGCUUUUUGUGCUUCCUCCUAGAUACUAAAAUGCAUUUUUUCAAAGUCUCUCAUGCAAAGAAAUUCAAUUAUCCUUCUAUAAACAUGGGUGGAAUAAUGUAUAUAUUUUUCCCAUAAAUUCUUUAUUCCAGCAUGACUUCAAUUGCAGAUCUUUCUAUGAUUUUCCCUACUAAAUCUUUCUUUUGGCAAAGCAAAGGGGAAAAAUCCAUCUUUGGAAAUGAACAUGCACGUGUCCAAAGAAAAAUGGGACUACUUCAGUUUUGUAGAAAAACUGAAUCUCAGAGAAUGACUAUUUUGGAAGAAUUUCAGGUAAAACUUCAGACUUUUUGUUCAAGGUUGGUAACUCAUAUUCCCGUGGAUCAUUUGGAUUAAAGGAUGAGUAAGGUAACAGUGUGAAACUGGCCCAAAUAUCUCCAGAAUAUAAAGCCUGGUGUCUUAAUGCCGCUGCUGGAAAAUGAGGUACUGUAAUACCAAUUAAAACAUAAGCAGUGAGUCUUUUUGAUGGGAAGAAGUGCUCUGAAAAUUCUUUACAAGCAUUUCCUCAUACUUGCAUCAUAGUCCUUUUGUGAUUUUUUACAAGCAAACUUCUGCAUCUGAAAACUCAAGCCAUUACAGAAUCUACCUGUAUUUCAUCUUAUUUUUUUCACUCACCUAAAAGAAUUAGCUCAUAGAUCCACUUCUGUUCCUCCCUGGCAAUUAGAGCUGCUGCUGAAGAUCUGUACAACGAGAAGUGCCUAGAGUAUAACACAGUGCUAAGUGCUCACCCUCAACUCUGUGGUCCUGGGUAACUUGGGAUGCAACUUCUCAUUGAGCCCUCUUGUAGCUUAACUGCAAUGACACUGCUUAAGGCAUGCUGAACUCAUUAAUCUGCUGUUGGAAAAGAACAGCUGACAUAACCAUUCUUAAUUUGUUAUGAAGCAGAAAAAUUGAUAUAAACAAGCUGUUGUAAUGCAUUUUUUUAAUGCCUUUUUCUUUGCUCUCCUCCACAGUUUCCUUCC